rnacentral:rRNA from 1 species
UACGGAGGGUGCAAGCGUUAUCCGGAUUCACUGGGUUUAAAGGGUGCGUAGGUGGAUCGGUAAGUCCGUGGUGAAAUCCCUGAGCUUAACUCAGGAACUGCCGUGGAUACUAUCGAUCUUGAAUGCCGUGGAGGUAAGCGGAAUAUGUCAUGUAGCGGUGAAAUGCUUAGAGUAUGACAUAGAACACCAAUAGCGAAGGCAGCUUGCUACACGGUAAUUGACACUCAGGCACGAAAGCGUGGGGAGCGAACAGGAUUAGAU